rnacentral:rRNA from 1 species
CCCAGACUCCUACGGGAGGCAGCAGUGAGGAAUAUUGGUCAAUGGCCGGAAGGCUGAACCAGCCAAGCCGCGUGAAGGACGAAGGUGCCAAGCAUUGUAAACUUCUUUUGUCAAGGGACAAAAUCAGGCUCGAGAGCCUGACCGAGGGUACUCGAAGAAAAAGCAUCGGCUAACUCCGUGCCAGCAGCCGCGGUAAUACGGAGGAUGCGAGCGUUAUCCGGAUUUAUUGGGUUUAAAGGGUGCGUAGGCGGAUGUUAAGGUGAGGGGUAAAAGCCCGGGUCUAACCCCGGGGGAGCCGUUGAAACUGGCUGUCUUGAGAUGUCGAGAGGUAUGCGGAAUGCGCAGUGUAGCGGUGAAAUGCUUAGAUAUUGCGCAGAACUCCGAUUGCGAAGGCAGCAUACCGGCGGCGAUCUGACGCUGAGGCACGAAAGCGUGGGUAUCGAACAGGAUUAGAUACCCGUGUAC